AUGGCUCAGAUUGAACGCUGGCGGCAGGCCUAACACAUGCAAGUCGAGCGGAUGACGGGAGCUUGCUCCUUGAUUCAGCGGCGGACGGGUGAGUAAUGCCUAGGAAUCUGCCUGGUAGUGGGGGACAACGUUUCGAAAGGAA
rnacentral:rRNA from 1 species